rnacentral:rRNA from 1 species
UACAGAGGGUGGCAAGCGUUGUUCGGAAUUAUUGGGCGUAAAGCGCGUGUAGGCGGCUUUGCAAGUCGGGUGUGAAAGCCCUCAGCUCAACUGAGGAAGUGCGCCCGAAACUGCAGAGCUUGAGUGCCGGAGAGGGUGGCGGAAUUCCCCCAAGUAGAGGUGAAAUUCGUAGAUAUGGGGAGGAACACCGGUGGCGAAGGGCGGCCACCUGGACGGUAACUGACGCUGAGACGCGAAAGCGUGGGGAGCGAACGGG